rnacentral:rRNA from 1 species
AACGAACGCUGGCGGCGCGCCUAAUACAUGCAAGUCGAGCGAGAAGACGUAGCAAUACGUUUGUAAAGCGGCGAACGGGUGAGGAAUACAUGGGUAACCUACCCUCGAGUGGGGAAUAACUAGCCGGAAAGGUUAGACUAAUACCGCGUACGCUCCUUGGACUUCGGUUCAGGGAGGAAAGCGAUACCGUGGGUAUCGCGCUCUUGGAUGGGCUCAUGUCCUAUCAGCUUGUUGGUGAGGAACGGCUCACCAAGGCUUCGACGGGUAGCUGGUCUGAGAGGACGGAUCAGCCACACUGGCACUG